GCAAUGGUGUCUUUAGACACCACCGAUAUUAUUUGAAGUUCGUUU
rfam:Picea glauca, whole genome shotgun sequence.